rnacentral:sRNA from 1 species
GCCAGGUGCGGUGGGGGGCGCCUGUAAUCCUAGCUACUUGGGAGGCUGAGGCAGGAGAAUUGCUUGAACCCAGGAGACGGAGGUUGCAGUGAGCCCAGAUUGCGCCACUGCACUCCAGCCUGGGUGACAGAGCAAGACUCUGUCUU